AGUGAACGCUGGCGGUAGGCCUAACACAUGCAAGUCGAACGGCAGCACAGUAAGAGCUUGCUCUUACGGGUGGCGAGUGGCGGACGGGUGAGGAAUACAUCGGAAUCUACUUUUUCGUGGGGGAUAACGUAGGGAAACUUACGCUAAUACCGCAUACGACCUACGGGUGAAAGCAGGGGAUCUUCGGACCUUGCGCGAUUGAAUGAGCCGAUGUCGGAUUAGCUAGUUGGCCGGGUAAAGGCCCACCAAGGCGACGAUCCGUAGCUGGGCUGAGAGGAUGAUCCGCCACACUGGAACUGAGACAAGGUCCAGACUCCUACGGGAGGCAGCAGUGGGGAAUAUUGGACAAUGGGCGCAAGCCUGAUCCAGCCAUACCGCGUGGGUGAAGAAGGCCUUCGGGUUGUAAAGCCCUUUUGUUGGGAAAGAAAAGCAGCAGGUUAAUACCCCGCUGUUCUGACGGUACCCAAAGAAUAAGCACCGGCUAACUUCGUG
rnacentral:rRNA from 1 species